rnacentral:rRNA from 1 species
GACGAACGCGGCGGCGUGCUUAACACAUGCAAGUCGAACGAAGAGCGAUGGAAGCUUGCUUCUAUCAAUCUUAGUGGCGAACGGGUGAGUAACGCGUAAUCAACCUGCCCUUCAGAGGGGGACAACAGUUGGAAACGACUGCUAAUACCGCAUACGAUCUAACCUCGGCAUCGAGGAUAGAUGAAAGGUGGCCUCUACAUGUAAGCUAUCACUGAAGGAGGGGAUUGCGCCUGAUUAGCUAGUUGGAGGGGUAACGGCCCACCAAGGCGAUGAUCAGUAGCCGGUCUGAGAGGAUGAACGGCCACAUUGGGACUGAGACACGGCCCAGACUCCUACGGGAGGCAGCAGUGGGGAAUCUUCCGCAAUGGACGAAAGUCUGACGGAGCAACGCCGCGUGAGUGGUGACGGCCUUCGGGUUGUAAAGCUCUGUUAAUCGGGACGAAAGGCCUUCUUGCGAAUAGUUAGAAGGAAUGACGGACCGGAA